UUAAACCUAAAGUGGUUUUGUAGCCGUCAAAGCAAAUCUGAUUCUUCUCUCUGCAACCUCUCUUCAACAAUGAAAUCUCUCUUACUCUUGAUCCCAGAACCCUAAAUCUAGUCCUCUCUCGCUCUCGCAGUCUCUCUCUCUCUUGCAGUCUCUCUCUCUCUCUCUCUCUCUCUCUCUCUCUCUCUCUCUCUCGCAGUCUCACCCUCUCUCACGAGUCUCUCCUCUCUCUCAAGCUCGAUUGCAGUCUUGCGCCGGUGAGUUCUCGGAAACAACAAGUUUCAAGCUUCAUCUCAGAAACAACAAGUCUCGGAAACCCAUCUCUUCCUUUGAGAAGCAGCGGGGCUUUCAUCACCUAUUGAGUAUCCUGUUGUUGGACUUCUUUCUCAGCCUUGUUCAAGGGGAACUAGGGGCUUACGUUUUUGGAACAAAAGGAUGAGUUGAGUUCAAUGAGCUGAAGCACAAGACAACAGACACUAUUGAUUCCUUGUGUACUAUAUUCUUACAAUGGGGCAUCUUAUUUUAGAUAUGUCAGUCAAACCAGGAAAUUUAGAUGUGGUCAACAAACCGGCCCAUUUUUGUAACCUGCUCGACUAUAGUUUCCGGUACGAUUGUUUUCUUUUGUGCUUACAACUUACCGGUAAGUUUGGUCCUAUUUUUCUUGUGUAU